rnacentral:rRNA from 1 species
AUUGAACGCUGGCGGCAUGCCUUACACAUGCAAGUCGAACGGUAACAGGUCUUCGGAUGCUGACGAGUGGCGAACGGGUGAGUAAUACAUCGGAACGUGCCUAGUAGUGGGGGAUAACUACUCGAAAGAGUGGCUAAUACCGCAUGAGAUCUACGGAUGAAAGCAGGGGAUCGCAAGACCUUGUGCUACUAGAGCGGCCGAUGGCAGAUUAGGUGGUUGGUGGGAUAAAAGCUUACCAAGCCGACGAUCUGUAGCUGGUCUGAGAGGACGAGCAGACACACUGGGACUGCGACACGGCCCAGACUCCUACGGGAGGCAGCAGUGGGGAAUUUUGGACAAUGGGCGAAAGCCUGAUCCAGCAAUGCCGCGUGCAGGAUGAAGGCCUUCGGGUUGUAAACUGCUUUUGUACGGAACGAAAAGCCCCGGGUUAGUACCCUGGGGUCAUGACGGUACCGUAAGAAUAAGCACCGGCUAACUACGUGCCAGCAGCCGCCGUAA